AUGAACAUGAACAGACCUGAACUAGAGUGCACAGGGGAGAUGGAUGUAUUUGAAGGCAUUAGAAUGGAAAUUCUAGCUAAGAAGACAGUGAAGAUUAAAGGGGGUAGGAAUUUCAUGCAAAAUCUUCUGGAAAAGACAAAGGGAAAUGAGAUCAGAGGCAGAAGGCCUGGCUUUGGAAAGAAUGGUCACUUCAUUAUCAGAAAUAAAAGGAAAUCCGCUAUGGUAAACCCAUCAAGGACUGACCAAAUCUCUAUUUGAUAAGUGAUAAAUGAAUCAUAACAAGAAAAUAUGUCCAAUACACUGUACCCAGUAAAUUCUAGUGGUCUCUAUUCCCCACUAUGAUCAAGGAUAACCUCUGUUUAGCUGUCAAAGACCUUUACAACAUGGCCCAAGCCUACAUUUUGAACCCCAAUGGAUGUACUCACUGGGCUUCUCUCUAUUUCUGGCCCAACAUGAAUGCUCCAUCUCUAGGUUUUGUAUUUUUUUCCUAGAGGUUCUCCCUCAUGCCUAGAAUAUACUUCCUUUUUAGUAGUAGUCUCUCAGUAACCAAGGAUGACGAUUGUCUUUGUGUGCUUUCAUCUGUGAUGUAGAUGAGUGGGCACAAAAACACUUGUGUGUGAAGGAGAUUUAAGUGGAAAAGUCGGUGCACAGAGACAGUCCCACUCUCUCGGCGUUGGAAGCCUGGGUCCAGUGGCACAAAAAGUCGUUACACCUGGAGACUUCCUCAGCUGCAUUGGAUGGCCUUGUUGUCUUUUGUGCUCCAACACGCCCUAAGCACUCUACAGUGCUUUGCUGCGUCGCCCUCUCAGCCAUUGAACCUUCUUAUUGGUUUCUUCCCUCUGUUUGGCCAAAGCAGUCUUCACUUCCUUUUUACUUCUACCUCAUAGCAUUGCCCUUUAACUUGAAGAUGCAUCUCAAGUCCCACCUCCUAGAUGAAGGCUUUCCUAAUUUCCUCAACUUCUUUCUGCCUCCUCCACACUUUUUUGGAUUUGACAUUUUGUCAUUUAUUCUCUUUAUCAUUAUUCUAUAUAUCCCUCCAGGUGUACUUGUUGGCUGCCCACUGAAAUGUGAAUGCCUUUGAGCAAAGAUACGAUCAUUUUGCAUUUCUAGCCCAACAUGUAGAACAGAGUCCCUGAAACAUAAUUGCUAUAUACAUUUCUCAUUAUCUCACAAAAGCAUUAACUUCUGCUUCCACCAUAUUAUGUUUUCCCUAUGUGUGGCUGAGAUAGCAUGAAUAAAGUUAUCCAUGGGCUUUAGGGAGGCUUCA
rnacentral:lncRNA from 1 species